rnacentral:rRNA from 1 species
CCUACGGGUGGCAGCAGUGGGGGAUAUUGCACAAUGGGGGAAACCCUGAUGCAGCGACGCCGCGUGGGCGAAGAAGUAUUUCGGUAUGUAAAGCACUAUCAGCAGGGAAGAAGAAAUGACGGUACAUGAGUAAGACGCACCGCCUAAAUAGUUGCCAGCAGCCGCGGUAAUACGUAGGGUGCAAGCGUUAUCCGGACUUACUGGGUGGAAUGGGAGGGCAGGCGGCACGGCAAGCCUGAUGUGAAAGCCCGGGGCCCAACCGCGGGACUGCAUUGGGAACUACCGGGCUGGAGUGUCGGAGAGGUAGGCGGAAUUCCUAGUGUAGCGGUGAAAUGCGUAGAUAUUAGGAGGAACACCAGUGGCGAAGGCGGCCUACUGGACGGUGACUGACGCUGAGGCUCGAAAGCGUGGGGAGCAAACAGGAUUAGAUACCCCUGUAGUC